UACGUAGGGGGGCGAGCGUUGUCCGAAUUUACUGGGCGUAAAGAGCGCGUAGGCGGGUUCUUAAGUGAGAGGUGAAAGGUUCAGGGCUCAACCCGAACAGUGCCUUUCAUACUGGGAGCCUUGAGUGUGGGAGAGGCGAGUGGAAUUUCUGGUGUAGCGGUGAAAUGCGUAGAUAUCAGAAGGAACACCCAUGGCGAAGGCAGCUCGCUGGCCUACAACUGACGCUGAGGCGCGAAAGCGUGGGGAGCAAACAGG
rnacentral:rRNA from 1 species